GUCGGCGCCGGGAGCAGGAAGCAUGCGCGGCGGCUGGGAGCUGGGCGCUGCGGCUGGAGGCCCGCUGCUGCUGUGCGCCGCGCUGCUAGCCGUGGGCUGCGCACUGGGCCUGCGCCUGGGCCGCGGGCUGGAGGCUGCGGACCGCGGGGCGCUAGCCUGGCUCUGCUUCGACGCCCUGGUGCACUUCGCACUGGAAGGCCCUUUUGUCUUCUUGUCUUUGGUAGGAAACAUCACAGAUUCUGAUGCUUUGAUCGCUUCAUUGUGGAAAGAAUAUGGCAAAGCUGAUGCAAGAUGGCUUUAUUUGGAUCCAACCAUUGUGUCUUUGGAAAUUCUGACUGUCGUUCUGGGUGGGUUUCUGGCAUUGGUUCUCAUUUAUGCCAUCGUCAAAGAGAAACAUUAUCGGUGUCCUCUUAUCCUGCAGAGAGCUGCAGGUUGUGGUCCUGGAUGCAAAAUUGCUGUCACCUUUUAGAGGUACUUGUGAGCGGUUUGGAGGGUGAAAGCAUGGAGACCGUUUUCAGCUGUUCCUUUUUCACUUUUGCUGUUUUGUGGCGACAGGCCCAAGAAGUGGCAGGAAUGGGAUCCCCACCUCCCGCUUACGCAGGGACUCUCCCACCUUGACCCAGGCUCUGCGGCAAGAGGCACAGCCUGGACAAUCUCAUUGCUCGACUGCCUUGCCUCUGUCCGUCUUCGGGGCUGGGGCUUCUGGAAGGGAGCAGUACCCCGCUGGUGUCGAGUUGCAUCAGGUGGGUUCUGGGGAAAGUAUGAGUCUUUUGUGAGGUGAAGCCAAGACGCUUGAGGUGUUGUGCAUUCUAAAAUCUGCCCGGAGGAUGAGGACUUCCCUGGUGGCGCAGUGGUUAAGAAUCCGCCUGCCAGUGCAGGGGACAUGGGUUCGAUCCGUGGUCCGGGAAGAUCCCACAUACCACAGAGCAACUAAGCCCGUGCGCCACAACUACUGAGCCUGUGCUCUAGAGCCCGUGAGCCACAACUACUGAGACCGUGAGCCACAACUACUGAAGCGUGUGCAUGCCUAGAGCCUGUGCUCCACGACGAGAAGCCACCGCAAUGAGAAGCCCAUGCUCCCUGCAACUAGAGAAAGCUCGCACGCAGCAAUGAAGACCCAAUGCAGCCAAAAAUAAAUUAAUUAGUUAAAAAUAAAAACCUGGAGAACGAGAAGGAAGGCAAGGUCCCAGUUCACCACGUGCUGAGGAUGGGGGCCGGGCCCACUUUAAAGGACACAGCUGCCCCCAGCUCCAGCGGGAGGAGGUGAGUGUGGAAAUCUGUGAGGAUGGACAGCUGAAACCCAAAACUCAGCAGGACCAAACUGAAACCCAACUCCUGCAGUUCUUACUUUCACCAAAGGAUUGCUUCUAUCCAAGAGGGGAAGGAGGAACAUCUUCAGAAUCAAUGAGUCAGAAAGGGAGAAACUCAAGCCAUAUUCAAAGGGAUAAUCAGCUCUCCAACGUGGAGCAAAUCUCACUCUAUACAGUGUUUGUGGAGAAAAAAAAAACGGAUUCCUUUAUAUAUAAGGAGGACAUAGAUUCGUGCUUUUCAGCCACAUCUGCUCGUGCACCUCCUCACUCCUGCUCGUGGGUUAACGGGAGGCUGAUGGAGCUGAAAGGUGUGGGUGAAUUGGAACACGCAAAAUACCCCUCAUAAGGAGAGCACCUUUUUUUUU